GGAAUAUUCCAAAAUAUACUUAUGUUUCAGAUAUUUCUUCUUAUUCAUGAAUGAUAAACUUUUAAGAUAAAGUUGACACUUCCUUUGUUCUCACUCUCUCCCCAGAGGCAAAUACUAUCAUGAAUUUCACGUUAUCAUUUCAGUUAAUAUUUCUACACUUUUACAUGUAUUAAAUAUGUUCAUAAACACUAUGCUAUACUGUCAAAUGAAUUUAAUGUUUACCUAUAAAGUAUCAUAUUGCCCAUAUGUUUUUCAGAUCUAACUAUGUGGAUAAUUUUUUAUUAUUAUUAUUUUUUGAGACAGAGUUUCAUUCUGCCAUUCAGGCUGCAGUGCAGUGGUGCGAUCUCGAUUCAUUGCAGCCUCGACUGCCCAGAUUCAAGCAAUCCUCCCGCUUCAGCCUCCCAAGCAGCUGGGACUACAGGCACACACCAUGUCAAUAGUUUAAAUCAACCUUAUUCAUUUUAACUGCUAUAUAGCAUUGCAGCAUAUAAAUAUACCACAGUGUGUAAUCCAUUCUCCUCUUUGUAGGCAUUUACACGAUUUACAAUUUUGUAUGAUUAGAAAAUAAACCACAAUGAAUAUUGUUGCACAUGAGUUCAAAAGUUUCUGUGAAGAACAAACCUAAAAGUAGAAGGUUAGAGCAUACAUAUUUUCAGCUUUAGAGAAUACUACCAAACUCCUAUAUAUAAUUUUUACCAAUGUGCUCUCUCAGCAGUAGCACUGAGAGU
rnacentral:lncRNA from 1 species